AUUGAACGCUGGCGGCAGGCUUAACACAUGCAAGUCGAGCGGAGACUUCGGUCUUAGCGGCGAACGGGUGAGUAAUACCUAGGAAUCUGCCUAUUAGUGGGGGAUAACGAAUCGAAAGGUUCGCUAAUACCGCAUACGUCCUACGGGAGAAAGGGGGGGAUCUUCGGACCUCUCGCUAAUAGAUGAGCCUAGGCCGGAUUAGCUAGUUGGUAGGGUAAAGGCCUACCAAGGCGACGAUCUGUAGCUGGUCUGAGAGGAUGGCCAGCCACACUGGAACUGAGACACGGUCCAGACUCCUACGGGAGGCAGCAGUGGGGAAUAUUGGACAAUGGGGGCAACCCUGAUCCAGCCAUGCCGCGUGUGUGAAGAAGGCCUCGGUUGUAAGCACUUAAGUACGAGGAGGAAGGUUUUAGUUUAAGUUACUACUAAAGAAUUAGGACGUUACUCGUCACGAAUAAGACACCGGCUAACUACUAG
rnacentral:rRNA from 1 species